rnacentral:lncRNA from 1 species
UGGUGUUCUGAAAGACAUUACCAACAUUUAUCAACAUUUACUGUUGAAUUUAGUCAUUAUCUUAAAUAUAUAAAUAUUGUGCUAUUCUUUUUCCUUUACGUAAAUUACAACUUUUAAAAAUGAACCAUACACAUGUCAAUACCAGGUAUUGGUAUAUAUCCAUGCGGUAGGAACCCAUCCACGCAAUUAAUCAUCAAAAAACAUAUAUAUUUACCCAAAUAUUAUGGUUAAAAAACCUCUGAGGUUUCAUUAUAUUUGGAGUUAAAAAUUUAUUUGAAUUUCGGGAAAAUAUUACACAUCAUCUAAAUUGACCAAAAACUAGUAGAAGUGUUUUUGUUUGUUUAUACACUAAUAUAAAAGAAACCUAGUAACACUAAAUUCAAUUCCACAUUUAGGUGAUAGUGGCAAGUUACACGUCAGUUAACAGUCAUACUCUAUGGCAAGAGUUAUCGGCUCGGAAGAAAAGAUAAAUUACAAUCCAGACGAACAAAGUUUUCUUACAGCAUUAUUCCAUAAGUACAAUGUAUUCUAUAUUGGUAUUGUUUUAGUAGGUUUCUCUUUCAGAAUUUAGGAUUUGAGUAAAAAAUUAUAUAAGUCUUGAGAAAAGCGUUAUUCACCGCGCUAAACGUCACGCGCUUUUACAUUUAACGUUAUGCAUGGUCAAUUGGUUGAUGUGUAAUUGGUUUUACUAUUGGUUUUUGGUAAAUAUUUGUCAUUAAAUGCAUAGUUGUUAAUGUCUGUGUCAUUUUGGUCUCUUGUGGACAGUUGUCUCAUUGACAAUCAUACCACAUCUUCUUUUUUAUAUUGUCUUUUUGGAAUAUGAAAUAAAAUAUUUAGUUAAUAUUCACUUCGGCUUUUGGCCUCUGUGCAUAUCACGUUUUAAAAGUCAAUGAAACCGCAUUCUUGAAACAUUAAAAGACAGUUAAUUUAUUGUAUUGUACCUUGAAAAUUUUAAAUAAAUUCAAAUUUAGUAAAUAUAUUGAUAUUAAGAAAUUAUGUGGUGCUGAUUUCAACAUAAAAUUAACAUUGAAUGACUUGAUUUUAAUGGUGAGGUUUUACGCUAUGAUUUGAAAACAAUUUAACCUACUUAAAUAUAUAUACAUACUUUUUUAAUGUGCGUACGUUUCCUAUUUGGCAUUAACUAGAACCCUUGCAGUGUCCCUUUUUUCCAUUUUCUAUCGUACAUUCAAUGGUAUAUACUAUUUUUCAAACAAUUUUUAAUCAAUAUUGCCAAAAUACAAUAAAUAUAAAUAUACUUUAAAAAAAUCUAAGAGCAAAAUUAUAACAA